rnacentral:rRNA from 1 species
UUUUUGGAGAGUUUGAUCCUGGCUCAGGACGAACGCUGGCGGCGUGCCUAAUACAUGCAAGUCGAGCGAAUCUGAUGGGAGCUUGCUCCCUGAUG